rnacentral:rRNA from 1 species
CAGCCCUAAACGAUGCGCGUUAGGUGUAUCGGUGACCACGAGUCACCGAGGUGCCGAAGGGAAACCGUGAAACGUGCCGCCUGGGAAGUACGGUCGCAAGGCUGAAACUUAAAGGAAUUGGCGGGGGGAGCACCACAACGGGUGGAGCCUGCGGUUUAAUUGGAUUCAACGCCGGAAAUCUUACCGGGACCGACAGCAACAUGAAGGCCAGGCUGAAGACUUUGCCGGAUUAGCUGAGAGGAGGUGCAUGGCGUAGUCGUGU